UCGAACGAGAAAGCGGGAGCAAUCUCGCAAGUAAAGUGGCGUACGGGUGAGUAACACGUGGAUUAUCUGCCCUGGAGUGGGGAAUAACGCUGGGAAACCGGCGCUAAUACCGCAUAUUCCCGAGAGGGGAAAGCAGCAAUGCGCUGAGAGAGGAGCCCGCGGCCGAUUAGCUAGUUGGCAGGGUAAAAGCCUACCAAGGCAUAGAUCGGUAGCCGGCCUGAGAGGGCACACGGCCACACUGGCACUGAAACACGGGCCAGACUCCUACGGGAGGCAGCAGUGGGGAAUCUUGCACAAUGGGGGCAACCCUGAUGCAGCGACGCCGCGUGAGCGAUGAAGCCCUUCGGGGUGUAAAGCUCUUUCGUCAGGGACGAUAAUGACGGUACCUGGAGAAGCAGCUGCGGCUAACUACGUGCCAGCAGCCGCGGUAAUACGUAGGCAGCGAGCGUUGUUCGGAGUUACUGGGCGUAAAGGGUGUGUAGGCGGUUUUCUAAGUUUGGUGUGAAAUCUCCCGGCUCAACCGGGAGGGUGCGCCGAAAACUGGGAGACUAGAGUGCGGGAUGGGAGAGUAGAAUUCCUGGUGUAGCGGUGAAAUGCGUAGAUAUCAGGAGGAAUACCGGUGGGUGUAGACGGCUCUCUGGACCGCCACUGACGCUGAGACACGAAAGCGUGGGUAGCAAACAGGAUUAGAUACCCUGGUAGUCCACGCCCUAAACGAUGCAUANUUUGGUGUAGGUCAUUCAGUUGAUCUGUGCCGGAGCUAACGCGUUAAAUAUGCCGCCUGGGGAGUACAGUCGCAAGGCUGAAACUCAAAGGGAAUUGACGGGGG
rnacentral:rRNA from 1 species